rnacentral:misc_RNA from 1 species
GCGGAGAGUCUGGCGCGGAGGCUGACGGACUGUGGUUUUCCGACGAAUUUGAGGAACUCGGAGUUUGGAGUGGCGGAGAAUGUGAGAAAAUGGAAGGAUAUUGUUGAGAAGAAACAAAAAAUGCUGGUUAAGAGUCGGAAUCGGGUGGCUGUUGCUUGGACUUUGGUUGCCUUGUGCUGUGGCUCACACGCAUCGCAUAUCUUGC